CACACACACUCUCCAAGGGUCUGGGAGUACAUUAUCUUAAUCAUCAUUAUUAGUUUUAAAACAAUUUCUACACUGCCACCAUUUUUUUUAAAAGCAAUCUGGUGAGACUAGAGAAGUGUGUAAGGGUAGAGGAGGCCAUAGCUACUGCAUCUUAUCAGCCAUACAAUGUAUAUACUUCAAUACAAAUAUACAUUUGAGUAACUUUACAUCACAGAUUCCAAUUGUAAACCCUCAGAAUGGCCAGUACAGCUGAACAAGGACCCAGUCAAAAGUGGAAACUCUUAUUUUACAGUGAGGGACACUGAGGCGAAGAGAUAAAUGAUAAGUGACUAGUACCAGGUCAGGAUAUUUGGCAGAAAUGUUUUCCUUUUUUUACCCACUCUUCUCCAUUCCAUUGUUAUUACCAAUCAUCCAGAGUUCUGCCAGUAGAACCCAGUCCACAUUUUGCCUAUUGUGAUUCUACAAUGGCAAAGAAAUCCUAUUGUUGGAUGCCUCUUCCUGAACAAACUUAUGAUUACAAUUAUAACACCAACAGCACAACAAUAACUUUGUCUUGCCUACCCAAGCAAUUUGGAGGAAACCCGAUUGAACCAGGGCAACGUCCAUUUCCCUGAAGAGACCUCAAGUAAUAUAGCAGCUGCUAUCCCUGAAGCAGCCAUACAAUAACAGAGUGGUAUCUUUCUCCACUCCGGCAUGUGAGACUAAACCCUGUAAUUACAAGGCAAUGCCUGCCUGCCUACUUUGGCAGCCUGAGAGCAAUGUGUACAAGAAUAUACCAGAGUUAGCAUCUUACAUGGCAUUUGCAAGCACACCUUAACAUUUCAAAAUGCCAAAGCUGGUGCCUCAGGCUCAGUGCCAUCUCUGUCCCUUUUCCUUUCCAUGGCCGGAACAGUGGGAGGUUAGAUGCACCUGUACCAAAUGCACUAAGUUAAACCUUGACAGAUUCAGAAUUCCCCUUUUCACCCAGUUCUUAACCAGCUUCUUAGGAAACUAUGGGGCACGUUUCUGUACAGAUGGCAUUUUUCAGCAAUGCAUAUUUUACUGGCACCCAGUGCAGCAACAA
rnacentral:lncRNA from 1 species